rnacentral:tRNA from 1 species
GGGUAGUAAGCUGAAGUGAACGAAGCGCGGGAUUGCAAACCCCGUCUUACUCGGUUAAAGUCCGAGACUACCCUCCA